rnacentral:misc_RNA from 1 species
GAUGAAGAACGUAGCGAAAUGCGAUACGUAAUGUGAAUUGCAGAAUUCAGUGAAUCAUCGAAUCUUUGAACGCACAUUGCGCCUGCCAGCACUCUGGCAGGCAUGCCUGUUCGAGCGUCAUUUCAACCAUCAAGCCCUAGGCUUGCGUUGGAGCCCUGCGGCUGCCGCAGGCCCCUAAAAGCAGUGGCGGGCUCGCUAUCACACCGAGUGCAGUAGAUUACUCUUCGCUCAGGGCGUGUGGCGGGUUCCAGCCGUGAAACCCCCUACUUCUCAAGGUUGACCUCGGAUCAGGUAGGGAUACCCGCUGAACUUAAGCAUAUCAAUAAGCGGAGGA